rnacentral:ncRNA from 2 species
UGCUUAUUCAGAGUGGUGGAGGGACUGGCCCUGUGAAACCACAGCAACCGGCCUGUUGCAAACGGGCGGCAGGUGCUAACUCCAGCAAGGUUUGUGAUUAAAAAGCCUUGAAAGAUAAGAU